rnacentral:rRNA from 1 species
CCUACGGGAGGCAGCAGUGGGGAAUUUUGGACAAUGGGCGCAAGCCUGAUCCAGCAAUGCCGCGUGAGUGAAGAAGGCCUUCGGGUUGUAAAGCUCUUUUGUCAGGGAAGAAACGGACUUUUCUAAUACAGAGGUCUAAUGACGGUACCUGAAGAAUAAGCACCGGCUAACUACGUGCCAGCAGCCGCGGUAAUACGUAGGGUGCAAGCGUUAAUCGGAAUUACUGGGCGUAAAGCGUGCGCAGGCGGUUUUGUAAGUUUGUCGUGAAAUCCCCGGGCUCAACCUGGGAAUGGCGAUGAAGACUGCAAGGCUAGAGUUUGGCAGAGGGGGGUAGAAUUCCACGUGUAGCAGUGAAAUGCGUAGAUAUGUGGAGGAACACCGAUGGCGAAGGCAGCCCCCUGGGUCAAAACUGACGCUCAUGCACGAAAGCGUGGGGAGCAAACAGGAUUAGAUACCCUGGUAGUCCACGCCCUAAACGAUGUCUACUAGUUGUCGGGUCUUAAUUGACUUGGUAACGCAGCUAACGCGUGAAGUAGACCGCCUGGGGAGUACGGUCGCAAGAUUAAAACUCAAAGGAAUUGACGGCUGAGACCGNGCGAGCGACGACGAGGGAGGAGG